rnacentral:misc_RNA from 1 species
GAUGAAGAACGUAGCGAAAUGCGAUACUUGGUGUGAAUUGCAGAAUCCCGUGAACCAUCGAGUCUUUGAACGCAAGUUGCGCCCGAAGCCAUUAGGCCGAGGGCAUGCCUGCCUGGGCGUCACACGUCGUUGCCCCCCCAUCUACUCCUUCGGGAUUGCGGGUGGCGGAUGAUGGCCUCCCGUGCGCCUCGUCGCGCGGUUGGCAUAAAUGCCAAGUCCUCGGCGACGCACGCCACGACAAUCGGUGGUUGCGAAACCUCGGUUGCCCGUCGUGUGCGGUCGUCGCGCAUCGAGGGCUCGAAAAAAUUGCCGGGCUCCGGCUCGGCUUUCAACGCGACCCCAGGUCAGGCGGGGUUACCCGCUGAAUUUAAGCAUAUCAAUAAGCGGAGGA